GAACGCCUCCAUCAUCCGAUCGAUCUUCUGCGCCUCCCCCGGCAGCCGGAAACUCCACAGGAACUGCCCGGAAUGUGCCCAAAAAUACACCCGGAAUUCCCAAAAAUACACCCGGAAUGUUCCAAAAAUACACCCGGAAUUCCCCAAAAAAUACACCCGGAAUGUGCCCAAAAAUACACCCGGAAUGCGCCCAAAAAUACACCCGGAAUGUGCCCAAAAAUACACCCGGAAUGUUCCCAAAAAUACACCCGGAAUGUUCCCAAAAAUACACCUGGAAUGUGCCCAAAAAUACACCCGGAAUUCCCAAAAAUACACCCGGAAUGUUCCCAAAAAUACACCCGGAAUGUGCCCAAAAAUACACCCCCAAUUCCCAAAAAUACACCUGGGAGGAUCCAGGUGUGUCCAGGUGUCCCCAGGUGUAUCCCAGGUGUGUCCAGGUGUGUCCCCAGCCCCUCCAGGUGUACCCCAGGUGUGUCCAGGUGUACCCCAGGUGUACCCCAGGUGUAUCCAGGUGUGUCCAGGUGUGCCCAGCUGUGUCUGGGUGUGUCCAGGUGUGCCCAGCUGUGUCUGGGUGUGUCCAGGUGUGUCCAGCUGUGCUCACCUGAGCGCCUGUACCAGGUUCAGGUCGGUGAACUCGUGCAGGUCCACGAAGGCAUGGAGCACACCCAGGUUAAACUCCUCCCUGAGGGGCGGGGCCAGGCUGUCAAUCACUGCUGGCCACACCCCCAUUGCACUGUCAAUCAUCCCCAGCCACGCCCCCAUUGCACUGUCAAUCACCCCUGGCCACGCCCCAUUGCACUGUCAAUCAUCCCUGGCCGUGCCCCCAUUACACUGUCAAUCACCCCUGACCACGCCCCCAUUUCACUGUCAAUCAUCCCCAGCCACGCCCCCAGUGCACUGUAAAUCACCCCUGGCCACGCCCCUAUUACCCUGUCAAUCAUCCUUGGCCACGCCCACCCAACCAAUCAAACCAUUACAACAGCCACUCUUAACCUGUCAAUCACCCCUGGCCAUGCCCACCCCGCCAAUCAACCCGUUACCACACCCACUUUGAACCUGUCAAUCACCCGCCUAGCCACGCCCACACGAGAAAGCUGCCAGGCCACACCCACCCCCUGUCAAUCAUGCUGGGAUGGGGCUUGGCCACACCCAGAGGUUGGGAUAAGCUCCGCCCACUGGCUGUCAAUCAUCUGUGACCCCAAAAAUCUCCCUCCCAGUCGCUCCCAGCCCAUCCCAAUCCAUUCCCAAUCCAUUCCCAAUCCAUCCCAGUCCCAACCAAUCCAUUCCCAGUCACUCCCAGUCCCAACCAAUCCAUUCCCAAUCCAUUCCCAGUCCCAACCAAUCCAUUCCCAAUCCAUUCCCAGUCCCAACCAAUCCAUUCCCAAUCCAUCCCAGUCCCAACCAAUCCCCUCCCAGCCCAUCCCAGUGCCCCAAAUCCCCUCCCAGUCCAUUCCAGUCACUCAG
rnacentral:lncRNA from 1 species